GGGAAGCUCCAGGCUGGCAAUCCACCAAGCUGCAGGGCCUUGUCCUAAGGCCCCCAUAGAGGUUUUAUCAGGGUAUUUGGAAAUUUGAGGGGAGAGAGAGUCUGAACUGGGAUUCAGAACUGAGCAAGUGGAAACCUUAGUAAUCAGGAGAAAACAGUACCCACUGAUUCUCAGGUGACCUGGUAAUUUAACUCAGCUCCCCACACCCUCUCGAGCAUUUGGGUUGACUUGCAGAGAAGAUCUAGACCCGGGCCUUUACCUUUUGUGCAAUACAAAGUUGCGGUUAACGACAUCUCUAUGAUCACUGAACACUAGAACAAAAAAGCUAUUCUUCAUGAAAAUUAGAACCACACAUCACGCUUUAAAAAAACCCAACAACCCUGAUAAAAAACAAACUCUGGAAGCCUCUGAUUAUGGGGGAAGAUAAAGAAGAUACAAUAAUGCAUUUCCCAGAAUGACAGCUACUGAUAUCUGCAAACGGCCUUCACUAGAAGAAAGAAAGCACACUGCUCCAAUCAAUACACUGAUAGUCUGUAAUGUAAAGAUUAAGAUCAGAAUAUUUAAAAAUUUAAUACUUGGCCUCUUCUUAUAGCACUUUGGAAGUCAAUAUCUUUAGAAACCUGGUCCACUUCCCUGCUUUGAAAGCAUUAUAUAUUUAAGGUUCCUAAAUAAUUCAUCCAGUCCAUGUGAUUAAAAAUGUAAAAAGUAAGUCCAUCCAUUAUCUUCUGCAGCUGCUGCCUGGAUAUUAGUUUUUCUAACGGCUCAGUAUUCUUUCUUCCUAUGCUUAAUUGAGACUUAAAUGGAUACAUUAAAGGAAGAGCGCAUAAGCACCGCCCAUCUACUAAAAUCAAAAGGACACUUACUGUUCCUUGGAGGAUACCACAUAUGCAAAUAUAUACACACCCAUCUCCAAUAUUUACGUUUAAUAUCCCCUUUAAAAUGAGAUUAUUCCACCAUCAAAAGUUAUUUUGAUUUAAUGGGGGAAAGCCAGCAUUAUGAUUUACUCUCUUCACCUUUACUGUCACUUCCACAGUGUUGAAAUGUGUAUAUUAUGACUUGUUAGGCAUACAGGGCUGUAGCCUGCUUGAUUUAUGUAAUUAAAGUUAAUGAGACUACUCCUCUGACGAAGGCAAGCAGGGUUUGUCCAAAAUGUAUAAACUCGGAGGACAGGGAUCUUGACUUCUUGUUUGUUUGUAAAGCACCUAGCACCCCUUAUGUGUUGGUAAAAGUGAUAAAAUAUUACGAAUGUUUUAAAAACUCAUUUCCUGUGCUUGUCUCCUACCUGUUCCCUUCUUAGAAGUCACAUAAAACUGAACUGCACAGCUACUUAAAAAAAAUUAGUUUGUAAGUUCCAAAUUAAUUCUCAGGAUAGAAGUGCAGCCUUGAAAUUAAAAAAAACAUAUAUAUGUAAAUACUUUGACAUUUGAAAUAAAAUGUGUGCGGCGGGCAAAUCAGUUCUCCCUUCACUCACCUGCCAAGUUCACAGUUCUGUGUUUCCUUUUGCAACAGCUGAGGCUUCAUCACCACGUAAAACAGUGAAGAGAAAUCAUCCAGGGAAAAUGUUCCCUCUGCUUUUUUAGCUGGUUGCAAUCUCAGACGGAGAUAGGAAGAAAUGAUUUCAGAUUGUUGGUGCUAAAGUAAAAAUAUUAGAGCUGCAUAAGAAAAAAAAUGCUUUUAAAAUGUUGUCCACAAAA